rnacentral:rRNA from 3 species
GGGAGGGCGCUUACCACUUUGUGAUUCAUGACUGGGGUGAAGUCGUAACAAGGUAACCGUAGGGGAACCUGCGGUUGGAUCACCUCCUUA